AAGUCGUAACAAGGUUUCCGUGAGGUGCAACCUGCGGAAGGAUUCAUUAAUUCGAAAUUAUAAGGUCGAGGGCUUGCCGCUGGCCUCUUUCGAGGCAUGUGCGCACCUGAGCUCUUAAAUCCACAACACACCUGUGAACCCACCGUAGGCCUUCGGGCUUAUGUAUCAUAUACUCUGAAUGUGUCAUAGAAUGUUCAUGUUGCCUUAAAACGCAAUCAAAUACAA
rnacentral:misc_RNA from 1 species